UGAAGCCAGCAGUUAGAAGUGAAGCCAGUUUCUACAGUUAGAAGUGAAGCCAGUUUCUACAGUUAGAAGUGAAGCCAGUUUCUAAAGUUAGAAGUGAAGCCAGUUUCUACAGUUAGAAGUGAAACCAGUUUCUACAGUUAGAAGUGAAGCCAGUUUCUACAGUAGAAGUGAAACCAGUUUCUACAGUAGAAGUGAAACCAGUUUCUACAGUUAGAAGUGAAACCAGUUUCUACAGUAGAAGUGAAGCCAGUUUCUACAGUAGAAGUGAAGCCAGUUUCUACAGUUAGAAGUGAAGCCAGUUUCUACAUUAGAAGUGAAACCAGUUUCUACAGUUAGAAGUGAAGCCAGUUUCUACAGUUAGAAGUGAAGCCAGUUUCUACAUUAGAAGUGAAGCCAGUUUCUACAGUAGAAGUGAAGCCAGUUUCUACAGUAGAAGUGAAGCCAGUUUCUACAGUAGAAGUGAAGCCAGUUUCUACAGUAAAAGUGAAGCCAGUUUCUACAGUAAAAGUGAAGCCAGUUUCUACAGUUAAAAGUGAAGCCAGUUUCUACAGUUAGAAGUGAAACCAGUUUCUACAGUUAGAAGUGAAACCAAUUUCUACAGUUAGAAGUGAAGCCAGUUUCUACAGUUAGAAGUGAAGCCAGUUUCUACAGUAGAAGUGAAACCAGUUUCUACAGUUAGAAGUGAAGCCAGUUUCUACAGUAGAAGUGAAACCAGUUUCUACAGUUAGAAGUGAAGCCAGUUUCUACAGUAGAAGUGAAGCCAGUUUCUACAGUUAGUGUGUUUGUAGUGAGCUGAUUACACAAUACACAUUGAGGGACAAUCAGUGGUAGUGUUUCACUCAAUGUUUGAAAGAUGCUGGGGUACCAAAUCGUACCCUAUUCCCUAUAUAGUGCACUACUGUUGACUGGUUAUCAGUUCAUUUUAAAAUACACCUGGAUAGGGUAUAAUGUUAUUCUAACGUACAUAGCCUAUGUGAUACGUACGUUACCUAGGUUCACUUAUUCCUCUGAUGUUGAGGCCCACAACAACCCUCUCAGGUCAUUUCAGGUUUUCCUACAUUUCGCUGUUUUUGAGUGAAGCUGUUUUAGAAAAUCUCCCAUCUCGUUUUCUUUUUAGCUGUAAUCUUAUUUGACUUGUUUCUCAUAUUAUUCAUUAGAGGGUAUUUUUCAUUUGAUCUGCAGUGAUAACGUGUUUUAUUAGAAUAUUUUCUUUAAAAGGUAAAAAACUGGUUAUGGUUGUCUGUCGCUCUGUUUUUCACAACAACAGUUGUUUGUUUUUUUGUUGCUGAAAACCCCUGAGGAUGCGUCCUCAGUAGCAAGCUAUGUUCUAUAUAUAGUGCAGUACUUCUGACCCGGGCACUGACCUCGGCCCAAUGCUGUUGGGUGCAUCAAAAAUAGUGAGGAAUAGUAUACAGGGAAUAGGACUGUGGUGUCUGAGGGCUGGUUCAGACUGUGAACCUCAUAAACCACCAUCCUGGUUAUUUAUGCAGAAGUCUUAGUUUAGCUCGGGUCCAGGGAGUUUAAGUGACGCCCUGGAUCAGAGCUACUGAGCUGCCUCGGUCGUGGUCUUCAUCCUACGUAUCUUUCCGUGGAUUGAUUCUCUCACGUCUCAUAGGCGAUGUUAUUGAAAACCUUUUUCAUUUCUGAAUAGGAAAGAAGCCAGACAUGACUCUAAACCUUUUGUAUCGUCGUGAAAGCGGAUUAUUCUAGAAUGUCUGAAUGUUCUAUGUCUCUCUCUAACCUUCAGAUCGAACCACACGGCGCUCUCUACAUCUCUGUCCCGACUGAAUAGUUUCAAGGUUUGCAAUCCCAAAUGGCAUCCUGUUCCCCAUGUAGGGCCACUGGUAAAAAGUAGUGCACUAAAUGGGGAAUAGGGUGCCAUUUGGGAGGUAGACCAAGUCACAUCUUAACUCAGGCAGCAUAGUUCAGCCAUGAUGAAAGACUUUAUGCUUUUUAUUUCAAUUGUGACUAACAUUUUACAUUAUCAAACGGGCUGAGACACUAAAAUCCUCAUGUUUUUUUUUAAUACUCAAUCGUCACAAACAACAAAAAACAAACCGGACCAAAGUUGAUGUGCCUUUCAUUGAUCUGUUAUUCAUCUCCUUGUUCCAUCCUCCAUCGCUAUUAUUUAAAUGAAAGUCCGUCAUUGCUCAAGACGAGAUCGUUGCUUCCAUCAACAACAAAAAAAUGGAGUCCAUUCCUAGCCUGGUCCAACCAGACUGAACGCUGUGCUCACUACAGAAAUGUAAUGAUAUUAGGUUGGAUACCAGGCUUGCCCAUUUGUUCCCACUUACCCUCAAAACACAAAAAAAAAACCUAACUAAAUGUAACCUUUAGCACUGAAACCAAAGGAAUUGAUUCCUCUAUUAGAACGAACUGUCAUGAUGACAGAGUAGCGUCCUUCGCUGGACCCGGGCUCGAGUCCCACACGGGGCUACCCCUCGAAUUCGCUACAGUAGAUUUGCUUUACCGUUUUGCGUCCAGACUCAGAGAUUCUGAUGAAUGUUUGAAGUGUUUCCUGACAUUCUACCAUUACUUUAAAUCACUGAAUUAUAUGGGAGACAAUUAAGAAGUUCAAUUGAUUUCCUGUUCCAUUAUUAUUAAAGGGAGAGAUGAUACAUUUUAAAGAGGCUUAUAUUUGCACAGCACCUAGUCAGGCCGCAUCCCAAAUGGGACUCUAUCCCCUAUUUACGUUCCCCAAUGAGUGCUAUCUGUAGGCGACGGGGUUCCAUUUGGGACGUAGUAGUAUCUCUUCUGAUCUGAUUUCAUUCUGUUUUUUCUUUUUGUGUUUUUCUUCGUCUCAUCACGGCGCGUCUUGAUAACAGACCUGGGUUUCUAUUCAAUCCGUAUUGGGGAGAUUCGGCCUUAACAUCGCGAUUUCGUUUAAAUGUCAACAUUCCCGCGUUAGUGGAGCUGCGUUCACGGUAAACGCCGCCUGUGUCGGCUCAAUCAGAAAAUGGCCUUUUAAUUUGACCACUUCAGCGAUACAGACUGAAUGGAGACUAAAGCUAAUAGUCCAAUGUUUCACAACCAAAAUAAAACAACAAAUGCUGUAAUCAAACAUGUCCUUUUUUUCCUAGUCUGGCCAAGAAAAAGGUUAAUGAGGCCAAGAUAGCUACAAACAACAACAAGACAUGGACGUUUUAUUUUUUGUAUUUGAAGAUGAGCACAUGAAAAAACAACUUGUCUUGUGUAUUUUGAUAUAAUACCAGGUUUGAUUUGUAAAGCAGUGUGUGUGACGUCGUGGGGAUGGAAGGUUUGGGGUGAGAAACAACAGGUUUCCUUUACGAGUUGAUGUAAUCAGAAUGCAAAUAGAUUAAAACUAUUAAAGAAACAUAUUUUCAAAUUUUUUGCGGUGCAUGGUUGAGUGGAGUUUCUGUAUUUUAUAUAGAAACAUUUUCAUUCAUGUUUUUGAAUUGAUUAUUACUAUGAUUAUCAUAAUCCUUAUUAUUAUAAUUAUUACACCAGAAUCCCAACUAUAAUUGUAGCAUGCCUUGAAUAAAUGUCAUGACCUCUGUACUGUCCUCAGUCCUCCAGUCUUCCUGUCUUCUUGGCUCUCCCUCACACGCUCUCAAUCAAACCCGUCUCAACUGUGUGUCUGUAAUGGCACCCUAUGCCCUAUAUAGUGCACUACAUUUAACCGCUCAAAACUGACUGUCCUUUUACCCAAUCACACUGCUCACCUCUACAAACUGACUGUCCUUUUACCCAAUCACGCUGCUCACCUCUACAAACUGACUGUCCUUUUACCCAAUCACACUGCUCACCUCUACAAACUGACUGUCCUUUUACCCAAUCACACUGCUCACCUCUACAAACUGACUGUCCUUUUACCCAAUCACACUGCUCACCGCUACAAACUGACUGUCCUUUUACCCAAUCACACUGCUCACCGCUACAAAGCACCAACUGUCUAUUCUGUUCUGCCCUCUAAAGGCAACACCCCAUAAUUGUUUUUGUGUUUUUAUUUACGGAUCUCCAUCCUCUCCCUGGGGACCAAACAGGAAACACAUUAUUACACCACUACCUACAGUUGAAGUCGGAAGUUUACAUAUACUUAGGUUGGAGUCAUUAAAUCUCAUUUUUCAACCACUCCACAAAUGUCUUGUUAACAAACUAUAGUUUUGGCAAGUCGGUUAGGACAUCUACUUGGUGCAUGACAAAAGUAAUUUUUUCCCCAAAAAAUGUACAGACAGAUUAUUUCACAAUUGUCACUGUAUCACAAUUCCAGUUGGUGAAAAGUUUACAUACACUAAGUUGACUGUGCCUUUAAACAGCUUGGAAAACUUCAGAAAAUGAAGUCAUGGCUUUAGAAGCUUCUGAUAGGCUAAUUGACAUCAUUUGAGUCAAUUGUGGAUGUAUUUCAAGGUCUACCUUCAAACUCAGUGCCUCUUUGCUUGACAUCAUGGGAAAAUCAGAAUAAAUCAGCCAUGACCUCAGAAAAGAAAUUGUAGAUCUCCACAAGUCUGGUUCAUCCUUGGGAGCAAAUUCCAAAUGCCUGAAGGUACCACGUUCAUCUGUACAAACAAUAGUACGCAAGUAUAAACACCAUGGGACCACGCAGCCGUCAUACCGCUCAGGAAGGAGACGCAUUCUGUCUCCUAGAGAUGAACGUAUUUUGGUGAGAAAAGUGCAAAUCAAUCCCAGAACAACAGCAAAGGACCUUGUGAAGAUGCUGGAGGAAACAGGCACAAAAGUAUCUAUAUCCACAGUAAAACGAGUCCUAUAUCGACAUAACCUGAAAGGCCACUCAGCAAGGAAGAAGCCACUGCUCCAAAACCACCAUGAAAAAGGGUUAGGGUUAGGCUACGGUUUGAUUGUACUUUAUGAAGAAAUGUCCUCUGGUCUGAUGAAACAAAAAUAGAACUGUUUGGCCAUAAUGACCAUUGUUAGGUUUGGAGGAAAAAGGCAGAGGCUUGCAAGCCGAAGAACACCAUCCCAACUGUGAAGCAUGGGGGUGGUAGCAUCAUGUUGGGGGUGCUUUGCUGCAGGAGGAACUGGUGCACUUCACAAAAUAGAUGGCAUCAUGAGGUAGUAAAAUUAUGUGGAUAUAUUGAAGCAACAUCUCAAGACAUCAGUCAGGAAGUUAAAGCUUGUGUCUUCCAAAUGGACAAUGACCCCAAGCAUACUUCCAAAGUUGUGGCAAAAUGGCUUAAGGACAACAAAGUCAAGGUAUUGGAGUGGCCAUCACAAAGCCCUGACCUCAAUCCUAUAGAAAAUGUGUAGAAAGAACUGAAAUGUGCAAGCAAGGAGGCCUACAAACAUGACUCAGACCAGCUCUGUCAGGAGGAAUGGGCCAAAAUUCACCCAAUUUAUUGUGGGAAGCUUGUGGAAGGCUACCCGAAACGUUUGACCCAAGUUAAACAAUUUAAAGGCAAUGCUACCAAAUAUGAAUUGAGUGUAUGUAAACGUCUAACCCACUGG
ensembl:lncRNA